rnacentral:rRNA from 1 species
GAUGAACGCUAGCGGCAGGCUUAACACAUGCAAGUCGAGGGGUAUAGGGAGCUUGCUUCCUAGAGACCGGCGCACGGGUGCGUAACGCGUAUGCAAUCUACCUUUUGCAGAGGGAUAGCCCAGAGAAAUUUGGAUUAAUACCUCAUAGUAUGUGAGAAUGGCAUCAUUUUCACAUUAAAGUCACAACGGCAAAAGAUGAGCAUGCGUCCCAUUAGCUUGUUGGUAAGGUAACGGCUUAACCAAGGCAACGAUGGGUAGGGGUCCUGAGAGGGAGAUCCCCCACACUGGUACUGAGACACGGACCAGACUCCUACGGGAGCAGCAGUGAGGAAUAUUGGACAAUGGGCGCAAGCCUGAUCCAGCCAUGCCGCGU